AUACGUAGGGUGCGAGCGUUGUCCGGAAUUACUGGGCGUAAAGAGCUCGUAGGUGGUUUGUCGCGUCGUCUGUGAAAUCCCGGGGCUUAACUCCGGGCGUGCAGGCGAUACGGGCAUAACUUGAGUACUGUAGGGGAGACUGGAAUUCCUGGUGCAGCGGUGAAAUGCGCAGAUAUCAGGAGGAACACCGGUGGGGAAGGCGGGUCUCUGGGAAGUAACUGACGCUGAGGAGCGAAAGCAUGGGUAGCGAACAGGAUUAGAUGCCCUGGUAGUCCAUGCCGUAAACGGUGGGCGCUAGGUGUAGGGGUCUUCCACGACUUCUGUGCCGUAGCUAACGCAUUAAGCGCCCCGCCUGGGGAGUACGGCCGCAAG
rnacentral:rRNA from 1 species